GGAAGUAAAAAUCGUAACAAGGUUUCCGUAGGUGAACCUGCGGAAGGAUCAUUAUUGGAUUUUGAAACUUCAGGCUGCUGCUGGCUCUCCUCGGAGGGCAUGUGCACGCUUGUUGUCCAUUAUUUCUCCCACUGUGCACAAAUUGUAGACCUUUCAGUAGGCCUAUGUUGUUUUUCACAAUCUCUGAAUGUAAUAGAAUGGUUUUGAAUCUUGGGAAAUACAAUACAACUUUCAGCAACGGAUCUCUUGGCUCUC
rnacentral:misc_RNA from 1 species